AGUGAACGCUGGCGGCGUGCUUAACACAUGCAAGUCGAGCGAGAACGGGUUAUAGCUUGCUAUAAUUGUCAGCUAAGUGGCGCACGGGUGAGUAAUGUAUAGGUAAUAUGCCUCUUACUAAGGGAUAACAAAUGGAAACGUUUGCUAAUACCUUAUACUCCUUAUUAACAGAAGUUAAUAAGGGAAAGAUUUAUUGGGAAGAGAUUAGCCUGUAUUGUAUCAGUUAGUUGGUGGGGUAAUGGCUUACCAAGACUAUGACACAUAACUGGUUUGAGAGGAUGAUCAGUCACACUGGAACUGAGACACGGUCCAGACUCCUACGGGAGGCAGCAGUGGGGAAUAUUGCACAAUGGACGAAAGUCUGAUGCAGCAACGCCGCGUGGAGGAUGACACAUUUCGGUGCGUAAACUCCUUUUAUAUGAGAAGAUAAUGACGGUAUUAUAUGAAUAAGCACCGGCUAACUCCGUGCCAGCCGCCGCCGUAA
rnacentral:rRNA from 1 species